AGUGGAGCUAGGCACUGCAGGACCUUGAUUAACCUCCACAUCACCAGAGGAACAGAGGAGAAGUAGGAUAAGGGUACGGCUAAAGGCUAUACGAACUGGCCGUCUAGCACGUUCAGAACAGAGAGUAAAAGGAGCAGGUAUCUGGGCACGAUAACAUAGAUUCAAGGCAUAGUGUACAGAGAAAGGACCUGAGCCCUAGGACCAUGCCUCAGGACUACCUGGCCUGAUGACUCCUUGCUGUCCCCAGUCCACCUGGCUGUACUGCUGCUCCAGUUUCAACUGUUCUGCCAGCGGCUAUUGAACCCUGACCUGUUCACCGGACGUGUGACCUGUCCCAGACCUGCUGUUUUCAACUCUCUAGAGACAGCAGGAGCAGUAGAGAUACUAUGAAUGAUCGGCUAUGAAAAGCCAACUGACAUUUACUCCUGAGGUGCUGACCUGUUGCACCCUCGACAACCACAGUGAUUAUUAUUAUUUGACCCUGCUGGUUAUCUAUGAACAUUUGAACAUCUUGGCCAUGUUUUCUUAUAAUCUCCACCCGGCAUAGCCAGAAGAGGAGUAGCCACCCCUCAUAGCCUGGUUCCUCUGUAGGUUUCUUCCUAAGUUCUGGCCUUUCUAGGGAAUUUUUCCUAGCCACCGUGCUUCUACACCUGCAUUGCUUGCUGUUUGGGGUUUUAGACAGGGUUUCUGUACAGCACUUUGAGAUAUCAGCUGAUGUAAGAACGGCUUUAUAAAUAUAUUUGAUAUAAACAUUGAGUUGUUAUUUUACCUGAAAUGCACAAGGUCCUCCACUCCGCCAAUUAAUCCAAGCAUAAAACGGUCAACCAGGCUUUUUCUUCUCUUGAGUUUAUAUUGCAAUUGGCAACUUUCAUACAUUACGUGCAUUACCGCCACUGACCUUGUUCGUCAUUCAGUCACCCAUGUGGGUAUAACCAAUGAGGAGAUGGCACGUGGGUACCUGCUUCUAUAAACUAAUGAGGAGAUGGGAGAGGCAGGACUUGCAGCGCGAUCUGCGUCAGAAAUAG
rnacentral:lncRNA from 1 species